UGCCUGAAGACUGCCAUUCAGCCUGUCCAGGACACUCCCAUCUCACUCUCCUUGCUUCAUCCUUGAACCAGGCAGUUCAUGUUCAAUCUGCCCUCUCUGGUUCCUUCUUAGUGCAGGGACAUGGGAAGAAUAUAGGGAACAGAUACAAGAAGUAGAACCCAGACUUUCACAGACCCAGGACAUGUUCUCCAAAGGGAAGAGAUGAAAACUGCUGAGUUGGGGUUUCACUCUCACCUGAUCUCCCCAGUAUCACCCUCAGGAUAGAAUCUUCCAUGGAAGUGCCUUGCGUGUGUCCCCUUCUCUUACUGUGCC